rnacentral:rRNA from 1 species
GCUCAACCGAGGAAGUGCUUCGAAAACUGGUAAACUUGAGUGCAGAAGAGGAAAGUGGAACUCCAUGUGUAGCGGUGGAAUGCGUAGAUAUAUGGAAGAACACCAGUGGCGAAGGCGGCUUUCUGGUCUGUAACUGACGCUGAGAUUCGAAAGCAUGGGUAGCAAACAGGAUUAGAUACCCUGGUAGUCCAUGCCGUAAACGAUGAGUGCUAAGUGUUGGAGGGUUUCCGCCCUUCAGUGCUGCAGCUAACGCAUUAAGCACUCCGCCUGGGGAGUACGAUCGCAAGAUUGAAACUCAAAGGAAUUGACGGGGGCCCGCACAAGCGGUGGAGCAUGUGGUUUAAUUCGAAGCAACGCGAAGAACCUUACCAGGUCUUGACAUACCAUGAAAAGCUAAGAGAUUAGUCUUUCCCUUCGGGGACCUGGAUACAGGUGGUGCAUGGUUGUCGUCAGCUCGUGUCGUGAGAUGUUGGGUUAAGUCCCGCAACGAGCGCAACCCUUAUUAUCAGUUGCCAGCAUUCAGUUGGGCACUCUGGUGAGACUGCCGGUGACAAACCGGAGGAAGGUGGGGACGACGUCAAAUCAUCAUGCCCCUUAUGACCUGCGCUACACACGUGCUACAAUGGUCGGUACAACG